rnacentral:rRNA from 1 species
GACGAACGCUGGCGGCGUGCUUAACACAUGCAAGUCGAACGGUAAGGCUCCAGCUUUCUGGGGUACACGAGUGGCGCACGGGUGAGUAACACGUGUGUGACCUGCCCUGCACUUCGUGAUAAGCCUUGGAAACUGGGUCUAAUACCGGAUAGGACCGCACCGAGAGGGUGUGUUGGAAAGUUUUUUCGGUGUUGGAUGGACCCGCGGCGUAUGAGCUUGUUGGUGGGGUAAUGGCCUACCAAGGCAACGACGGGGAGCCGGCCUGAGAGGGUGGCCGGCCACACUGGAACUGAGACACGGCCCAGACGCCGACGGGAGGCAGCAGUAGGGAAUCGUCCGCAAUGGGCGAAAGCCGGACGGAGCAACGCCGCGUGAGUGAUGAAGGUCUUCGGAGCGUAAAACUCUGUUAUUAGGGAAGAACAAAUGUGUAAGUAACUAUGCACGUCUUGACGGGACCUAAUCAGAAAGCCACGGCUAACUACGUG